rnacentral:tRNA from 1 species
GGAGGGGUCGCAUAGUGGCCUAGUGCACGCGCUUGGAAAGCGCGCAUACCGCAAGGUAUCGCGAGUUCAAAUCUCGCCCCCUCCG